AUUAAGACGGAAAGAGACUAAACUUCGGGCCUCUUUCCCAUGUGACAGCUUGGCAAAAAAGAGUAGAAAUUGAACUAUUUUUUUUAUCAUGGCUACACUUACUGUUUUCAUACAAAAGAGACGUCAAAGUGAUUCAAUAGUUGCCAUAUGCAAGACGUUUUACAUAGACAGUGGUGCCCCUAUUAUUUUCUACUCUUUUUUGCCAGACUGUAUAUAGACGGUCAAGCAAAUCGUGAGAACAAAAUUCAAAUUUUCUAUGGGACGACAAUGUAUGAGCACAUUAUUCAAAUUUGCCGCCAUUUUUUACUCUCAUGCUUUGCUUAACCAUCUAUAGUUACAUUAUCUAGGUUGGACUUGUGAUUACUGAUGUAUUUAUUGGGUAAAAAAAAAACUGAUACUGGCAACAUUUUCAAGUUGUCAUCCAACAAACCAAGCUAACGGCCGAAUGUGAUCUGCUCGUGUACUGUUCUGUGCUCUUUUCGCUCGUUUUUUUGCGUCGUUGUCAUUGCUGUGAAAGUGUUAUGGUGGUAAAAUUAACUUGGUGAUUGCAAUCGCAAGUAUACCUACUAAAAUAAUGGAAGAAGACACAGAAAACAAAUUGGUAUCCUGGGAUUUGCCGUCAGUAGUCGUCGAGAACUUUAAAAAAAAUGAUAUAAGCAAGGAACAGUUCAAAUAUUUGGUUUUAAAUGAUACUUGAAAGAGCUUUGCAAACACAUUGUGCACCGAAUUAAACUAAAAAGUAAACUACAAGAUUACUUAGACUCAGUUACUGAUACUGAAACUGCAUACUUCUUCAAUGAAGAUUUAAUGGUUAUUAAAGCGAAAACAAACUGUAUAGAAGUGAUGCAAGUUGAUCAAGAUCAGUCAGUUAUUCUGACAGACAUUACUUUGGAUUUGGAUUCCUACUUAAGUGUACCAAGUAGGCUUUCACUGCCAUAAUUUGAAUUGAAGAGUAUCCGCCAAUGUACUCCACAAGUAAAUAGUGUUCUAAAUUAUUAUCAAAAAUACAAACAAUUGAACUCGCAAAAAAGAAGCAUCAUUGUUGAUGUUUUGGUGAAAUAUCACUACACAUUUAUUGUUAACAACAACAUCAAACCAGAAGAAUUCAAUUUGCUAGCUGCAAAAAUAGUUUCACUUUUCCCAACUGAAAGUAUAUAUACCUACUAUAUGAAAGCUGUGCCAACAUGCAAAUCUGCUUCAAGAAAAUAUGUGCCCGCUAAAGGCAAAUUAGUGGACAAGGUUCGAAAUCUCCUGUACAUAUCAGGAGAAAAGUGCAGGGGCUUAAACCCACUUGCUCUAAUAGGGAUUCGGAUACAGAUGUAGAGUCUGUGGAAAAUAAUCAAGGGACUGCUUCAAAUGACGACGCUAUUUGGCUGAAAUAUAAUGAGCUAUGGGACCAAGUUUGUGAAAGGUGGAAUAACACCUUUGAAUUAAGACACAAACAAUUGAAACUGUACAUGAUUUUCUUGAAACCUGGGCCAUUUGAAAAGACAGCAAAGUAGAUACUCUGCAAUGACAACGACGCAAAAAAACGAACGAAAAGAAAAAGAGCACACAAGCAGAUCACAUUCAGCCAUUAGCAUUCAGUUUGUUGGAUGACAACUUGAAAAUGUUCAAAUUCAAAUGGGAUUCAAGUUCAACCCAGGACCUUGUACUUCAUAGGCAGAGUCACUACCCACGAAGAAAGAUACAGAGGCCGUUAAAACACAAAAUAAUUCCGGUGCAGAUUUACCUGCUAUAUUUUUUAAUACCACCCAAAGGCCGGAAAUCUAGGAAAGUCAAAUUCUCAACCACUGAAUCAAUCCAGGGCUUAUUAGUUCAGAUAGAUGACGCCGGAGAUAUCGACAGCGUAAUCGCAGCCCAGAAAGCUAAGGCUGCAGCCCGGAAGGAUACCGUGCAACCCUCCGUGCUCAUACAGCGACCGCUACAAAACUUCGCCCAGAUAUACAUCGUUAUUCAUGAUAUCAAAUACCACGUGCAUUCAGCUGCAAAGACGUUCGACUUGUUGUUUAAGAUUUACCACGUUUUUCACGCCAAGUAUCCCCAAGUGUGUGAGCACCUCCACGUAAUUAUUCAAAAAAAGUGUAUCAAAUCCAUACGGUAUAUGAUACAGUAGGUACCACCGUAUAUAGUUGACGUUUUAAACUUAGACGUUUUAAUUUUAUUAUAGUAUAGGAUCCGUACUAAGCUCGAUCUUCACCAACGUGUUAACCAGAUGAAAAUAAGUUUCAGAACAUGUCUCCUCAAUAAAAAUGAAUGGUCAAGAUUAUUUUUUAAAAAUCUUUGAAUUUUUUUUUAUAUAAUCUUGACCAUUUUUAUUGAGGUUACCAUAGUAAGACAUGUUCAAAAACUUAUUUUACUUAAUAAAAUAUUAUUUUCACCUGGUUAACACGUCGGUGAAGAUCGAGCUUAGUACGGAUCUUAGACUAUAAAGUUCUUGAAAUGUAAAAAUAUACUAAGCUACAGAAAUUGUAUCUAUGACAUUUGGUCUUAUGUACCUACUUAAGUAUUUGCACCAUCUAUUUACAAUUGACGUGAUUUAUUCUAAGUUUGACUUGUAGAGAAUCUUGGUACUUUGUAGCUCUAAUCAAUCUUGGUAGCUCACACAUUUAUGUACCUAUAUGCUUAUAAGUCAAAAUGUUUUCCGUUCUAAAUUCAAUUUUAAUACUGUAUAGUGAUACUCAUAGGUUCUGAAUUUGUAAUUACUUUCUUUAACUGGUGCAUAAAAUAAAUGAGAAACUUA
rnacentral:lncRNA from 1 species